ensembl:lncRNA
UUUUUUUUUUUUUUGUCAUGCUACGAUAUAACGUCUAUUUUUUAACCAUUUAAUUUUAGCUAUAUAAUUACUUAUUCAGAUAGUUAGUUAUUUAGUUAGAUAGCAAAUUUUUCUGUUUUUUUUUUUUUUUUUUUUUUUGGUAACACAUAAAGGUAUAUUUCCUUUUGCCUUAUAUAUAUAUAUAUAUAUAUAGAUGGAUAAAUUAUUAAUAAAAUAUUUAAAAGAAAAUGAAAUAUAUACUGCCAGUAUUUUUUAUUCUAUUUGCUUUUACUAAUCACAAUUUUAAUAACGUGCAAAGUGGGAAUAGUUAUAUAUAUGUAAACGCAAGAAUAAUUCGUAGAAUAGAAGAUUUAAAUAAAAAAAAUGAAGAAAAUAAAAAUGGUAAAUCAGAAAACCUGGAUGUUAUAGAAGAUAAUAAAAAAGAUGGUGAUAAUAUUAAUUUGAAUAAUUUAGAACAAACAACAUGUACCACGUCAGAAGAGUUUGAUAACAAUUCUAUGGAUGUAGUAAUGGAUGAAUUAUAUAAAAUUUUACAACCAGAAAGUGAAAAGAAAGAAUUAUAUGAUAAAAGUAAAGUAUUAAAUGAAGAUUAUAUAAAUUAUUAUAAUUCAUUAUUAAUUGAUAAUAUGAUCAAGUAUCAAAACAGUUAUAAAAAUUUAGACAAAAACAAUAAAACUGAUAUAACUACCGAACAAAAUACACACCAUCCAAAUAUUAAGUUCGAACAUGAGUAUAAUAAAAAUGUAGAUAGUGGUGAUGGUAAUGGUGAUAUUACUUCUGUACAUCAAGUUAAUCAAAUAGGAAACAUAAAAAAAAAAAUAAGAAAUGUAUUACAAGAUGAGGGUGUAGAUAUAUCUAAUUUAGAACAUAGUAUGCCUCAUUUUGAUAUAUUUGCACAAAACAAACUUUUAAAAGAAGCUUUAUAUAAUGCUAUAAACAGAUUACAAUCUUGUGAUGCAGAAGAAAAACAGUUGACAGAUUUAAAAACAGAUCAUGCUCUUUAUAAUGAAUUACCCUUAACCGAACAAAGUACAACAAAUUUUAAUAAUUAUUUUGAUAACAAUAAUAAUAAUAAUAAUCAAAUGCAUGUGUCACAUAGUUUAUCAAUCGAUAAAAAAAACGUUUGCAAAGCAUCUUAUAAAGGUGUUGAUACUACAGAUGUGGAUACUACAGAUGAGGAUACUACAGAUGAGGAUACUACAGAUGAUGAUACUACAGAUGAUGAUAAUACAGAUGAUGAUAAUACAUAUGAUGAUAAUAUAUAUGAUGAUAAUGGUAUUAUAAAUUCGAAUAUAAAUAAUAACAUUGUGAGUUCUAAAGAAAAAUUAUUUGAUCAGGACAUUGUUUGUGAUAAUUGUAUUCUUAAUAAAGAGGAUUAUAAUCAGUUUACAACUAAACCAAAGGAAAAUUUUGUUAAUUUAGAUGAUGAAGACGCAUCUGAAAGAUUUGAUCCUAUGAUAGAUAUUCCAACCAAUAAGGAUCAACUUGUAGAUAUAUUUAUAGACUUUUCUAAUAAGGAAGAACAAAAAAAUAAAUAUACAAAUGAAAUAAAUGAAGAGUUGGACAACUCAGAACAAAAUUAUGAUUAUGAUGAUUCUAAAAUUGUUGAUGUGACUAGCGAAGAGCAAGAUUUAGAACCUUCUGUUAUGGAAAACUCUAAUUCUUCUGAACAUUUAGAUGUAAGUAAAGAAGAGCAAGAUUUGGAACUUUUAAUCAUGCAAAGUCCUGAUUUUUCUGAAAAUUUAGAUGUAAGUAGCGAAAAUCAAGAUUUAGAACUUUUAAUUAUGCAAAGCCCUGAUUAUUCUGAAAAUUUAGAUGUAAAUAACGAAGAGCAAGAUUUAGAACCUUCUGUUAUGGAAAGCUCUAAUUCUUCUGAAAACUUUGAUGUGACUAGUGAAGAGCAAGAUUUAGAAUCUUCUGUUAUGGAAGGCUCUAAUUCUUUUGAAAAUUUAGAUGUAAAUAGCGAAAAGCAAGAUUCAGAACCUUCUGUUAUGGGGAGCUCUGAUUCUUCUGAAAAUUUUGAUGUGAUUAGUGAAGAGCAAGAUUUAGAAAAUGCAGUUACACAAAGCUCUAAUAUUUUUGAUAAGACGUUCGGAAGUUAUGUAGAAAUGUUGGAAGAGUUAGAAAAAUCACAUAAAGACAGUUGUUCAAAAUUAUUUGAAAUAGAUAUAAAAGAAUUGAAAGAACAAAUUAAUACAUUAGGUACUAAGAACACUAAAGAAAUUUUAAAAUCGAUUUUAAAGAAACAUAUGCCUCAAAAUCCUUAUUGCACAGACAAUAAUGGUCAGUCCUGUUAUGAGUACACUUUUGAUAUAGAUGACAUUGAUGAAUUUGGAUUAGAUACAAAUAGCAAUAAUGAAAAUGAGGAUGAAAAUGAGGAUGAGCAUGAGAAUGAGGAUGAGAAUGAGAAUGAGGAUGAGAAUGAGGAUGAUGAUGAGGACGAGAACAAUGAUAAUAAAAAGAAUAAUUCGUCUAACAUUAGGAACAAUCGUGAUAAUAAUAUAAAUCGACGUGAUUUGGGUGAUAUACCUAACAUAUAUGAUAAUAUAAAUUCACAGGAUGGUAAUAGCAAGAGUGGAAAAGAUGAUGAGGAUAAAUGCUGUGUUGAUAAUGACGACGAGUCUGACCCAAUUAAUUUCAACAAGCAGGAACUGGAAAAAGAAUCGGAUAAAGAAUCGGAUAAAGAAUCGGAAAAAGAAUCGGAAAAAGAAUCGGAAAAAGAAUCGGAAAAAGAAUUGGAAGAAGAAUCGGAAAAAGAAUUGGAAGAAGAAUCGGAAAAAGAAUCGGAAAAAGAAUUGGAAAAAGAAUUGGAAAAAAAAUCAAAAAAAAAAUCGGAAAAAAAAUCGGAAAUAGAACCGGAAAUAGAACCGGACCAUCAUGAUAAUGAUAUAGAUAAACCUAAUGAUUAUGAUAACUUUGAAAGAUAUAAUGAUAUAUCUGAGGAAGGUGAUGGUGAUGAUAUCUCUGAGGAAGGUGAUGGUGAUGAUAUCUCUGAGGAAGAUGAUGGUGAUAUUUCUGAUGAAGAAGAUGAUUAUAUACCUGAAGAAGAAGAUGCUGAUAUAUUUGAGGAAGAAGAUGCUGAUAUAUUUGAGGAAGAAGGUGAGGAUAAACUUGAGGAAGAAAAUGGUGAUAAACUUGAGGAAGAAGAUGCUGAUAAAUCUGAAGAAGAUGCUGAUAAAUCUGAAGAAGGUGACGAUAAAUCUGAAGAAGGUGACGAUAAAUCUGAAGAAGGUGACGAUAAACUUGAGGAAGAAGGUGAGGAUAAACUUGAGGAAGAAGAUGCUGAUAAACUUGAGGAAGAAGAUGCNNNNNNNNNNUUGAGGAAGAAGAUGCUGAUAAACUUGAGGAAGAAGAUGCUGAUAAAUCUGAAAAAAGUGAUGAUAAAUCUGAAAAAAGUGAUGAUAAAUCUGAAAAAGGUGAUGAUGAAGAUAAAAAUGAUAAGAAGGAAGUGGUUUCAGAUUUUAGCACAGAGAAAGAGGACAAAUACGCAAAUGUAUUCAAUUAUGAAAUAGAUAUCGAUAUACCACAAGAUGAAAUAGAAUUUAGUUAUAAAGAUUUAAAAUUUUUAUUAAAUGAAAAUAUAUUAGCAUAUGAGGACUUAACUGAUGAUGAAAUACAAAUAUUAGCAGGUCCAAGUGACUUAUUCUAUCAGUUAUCACCAUACACAGAUGAUGAAAAAAUGUUAUGUGUUAACGAGGGGGCUAGUGUAGCAAAUGAGCAGUACCAAAACAAUUUAAAAAAGUAUGGAAGAUAUCAUGUGAGUUACGAUCCUAAAAAUAUUGACUAUUUAAAACAAAAAAAAGCAGAGAAAAAAGAAGAGGAACAAGAAAAUGAUAAUACAUAUGACACCAUUAAACAAAUUAGAAAUACGUACUCAGGUAUACCCUGUAAUUUUCAUCAUGAGGCACCUCAGUUGGUUGGCGAUUUUUAUGUUUACACAUCUAUAUAUGAUCAAAAAGAAGAU